rnacentral:rRNA from 1 species
CGGAAAGACCCCGUGAACCUUUACUAUAGCUUGACACUGAACAUUGAGCCUUGAUGUGUAGGAUAGGUGGGAGGCUUUGAAGCGUGGACGCCAGUCUGCGUGGAGCCGACCUUGAAAUACCACCCUUUAAUGUUUGAUGUUCUAACGUGGACCCGUAAUCCGGGUUGCGGACAGUGUCUGGUGGGUAGUUUGACUGGGGCGGUCUCCUCCUAAAGAGUAACGGAGGAGCACGAAGGUUGGCUAAUCCUGGUCGGACAUCAGGAGGUUAGUGCAAUGGCAUAAGCCAGCUUGACUGCGAGCGUGACGGCGCGAGCAGGUGCGAAAGCAGGUCAUAGUGAUCCGGUGGUUCUGAAUGGAAGGGCCAUCGCUCAACGGAUAAAAGGUACUCCGGGGAUAACAGGCUGAUACCGCCCAAGAGUUCAUAUCGACGGCGGUGUUUGGCACCUCGAUGUCGGCUCAUCACAUCCUGGGGCUGAAGUAGGUCCCAAGGGUAUGGCUGUUCGCCAUUUAAAGUGGUACGCGAGCUGGGUUUAGAACGUCGUGAGACAGUUCGGUCCCUAUCUGCCGUGGGCGCUGGAGAACUGAGGGGGGCUGCUCCUAGUACGAGAGGACCGGAGUGGACGCAUCACUGGUGUUCGGGUUGUCAUGCCAAUGGCACUGCCCGGUAGCUAAAUGCGGAAGAGAUAAGUGCUGAAAGCAUCUAAGCACGAAACUUGCCCCGAGAUGAGUUCUCCCUGAGACUUAGAGUCUCCUGAAGGAACGUUGAAGACGACGACGUUGAUAGGCCGGGUGUGUAAGCGCAGCGAUGCGUUGAGCUAACCGGUACUAAUGAACCGUGAGGCUUAACCUUACA